GCGUCCGUGGUGCAACGGUUCAGCACACGCCCCUGGAAAGAGUGAGAUCUGAGUUCGAAUCCCGGCUGGCGCA